rnacentral:lncRNA from 1 species
CGUGUAUAGGAGAGGAUAAGUUGAAAUCUCUUAUUCCAAUUCAUUAACAGUUCAUUGUAAGGAGAUAUAUGUAUAUAUGAUGCACUCUUUAAUGGCAGCAAUGUUGUAUCAUUUUAACAAGACUACAAAAUUUAUCUUUCCAAAAGUAUAGCAACAACAAUUUUCACUCCAAAAUAUAGUAGCAACGUUGUCCAAUUUAAGCUCAAUCCAAGUUCAAUCAUAGUGAUCCUUCCGUUGAGUUGAGGAUUCUAACAUCGGUUUUUCCGAAUCUAGCAAGUAGAGAUUAGUUCAUGGUAAACUAAGGUAUGUUCAUAUCUUAAUCCUUGUACAAAGUAAUUCUAGAAGAUGAUUAUGUGUUAAAAAUGAAGGGAUCUUGAUAUUUAGAGUUGUAGUUGUUUAUAUGAAAUUGUUGAGACAUGAAUUGAAUUUUGUGGAAUUAUGAGGAGAAUUAUGGUGCUAUGUUCUUAUGGAUUAGACGUUCAUAAGGUUGUUGGUAUUGUUGUUGUGAUUUGGAAUUGAUUUGUAGUUCACAUGGGGUAAAUUAUUUAGAGGAUAUGCCGCUCGAAUUUCGUUAAGUCAUUUGUUAAUCAAAUCGGAGGUAGGAAAGGUAUAGUUGGGACUGAAUUAUAUAUAUACAUUUUGAUUACAGAUUCACAAGUUUGGGAAGCUGACGUUAAGUUUAAAAAGCGACAAGGUAUGUUAAGCUACCCCUUCCUUUUUAUUUUUGGCAUGAAUUAUAUAAAACGAGCGGAUGAUGAAUGUACAUAAUUUCAAUGAAUUCUAGUUCUCAGUGGUACUUGACAUGAUAGUUGUCUUUGAUUCUCCAGUGUUGGUUCAUUCUAAUCAUUUUAUUAAGUCUUAAAUGAUGAUUUAACUUGUAUGUGGUUGCUCCUGAUAUUCUAUUCGUGCAUAACAUUAUUACAUCAUUUCACCGAGUCCCGAGCCGGGUAUGUAUUCGUGCACAGUUUCAUUGCAUAGUUCACCGAGUUCCUCACUAGAUGUCCGAGUACGGUAUAUAUAUAUAUAUAUAUAUAUGAUUAUUUUACUGAGUACCUCACUAGAGGGCCGGGUAUGGUAUACAUGUAUAUGACUUCAUUCACCGAGUCCCAUAAUGGGAUGGGUAUGGUAUGUUAUAUAGAUAUGCAUGACUCUCAUCUCAUAAGGCACAAGUGCAUUGGUAUCUUUGAUUAUCAUACUUGUCUCCUGUCAUCUUUUACUCAGUCAUGAUCUUCUUUAUUGUACUUCAUGAUUUAUAUACUCAGUAUAUUUUUAGUACUGACCCCCCUUUCUUCGGGGGCUGUGUUUCAUGCCUGCAGGUACAGACACUCAGUUUGGUGAUCCUCCAGCCUAGGACUUCUGCUCAGCUGUUUGGAGAGCUCCAUUGUUUUGGAGCCUGAGUCAUUUUGGUACAGAUCCUCUGACAUAGAUUUAUGUGUAUCCAGGGGUAUGACAGGGCCCUGUCCCGUCAUAUUUCAUUAUUAUACUUUUAGAGGUAUGUAGACGUGUGUGGGUUGUAUAUAGGUUUUGGUCAGCUAUAUCAAUAUUGCCCGUUUUGGAUAUUCCCGUAUAUAGUGGCAGCCUUGUCAGCUUGCAUAUUUUGUUAUGUUUUGGUUAGCUAUGACUCCUUAGGAGACAGGUUCAUUAUGAUAUAUGAUGUUAUGAGUC